AUCCGGACCAAGGGUGAGGCCGGCACGGGGAACAUCAUCGAAGCGGUGAGGCACGUGCGGUCCGUGAUGGGGGACAUUAGGGUUUUGCGGAACAUGGACGACGACGAGGUGUUCACUUUCGCGAAGAAGAUCGCGGCGCCGUACGAUCUGGUGAUGCAGACGAAGCAGCUGGGGAGGCUGCCUGUAGUGCACUUCGCGGCGGGAGGGGUGGCGACGCCGGCGGAUGCGGCGCUGAUGAUGCAGCUGGGUUGCGACGGGGUGUUUGUCGGGUCCGGCGUGUUCAAG
rnacentral:lncRNA from 1 species